rnacentral:rRNA from 1 species
UGCAAGUCGAGCGAAUGAUGAGGAGCUUGCUCCUCUGAUUUAGCGGCGGACGGGUGAGUAACACGUGGGUAAUCUGCCUGUAAGACGGGGAUAACUCCGGGAAACCGGGGCUAAUACCGGAUAAUAAGAGAAGAAGCAUUUCUUCUUUUUGAAAGUCGGUUUCGGCUGACACUUACAGAUGAGCCCGCGGCGCAUUAGCUAGUUGGUGAGGUAACGGCUCACCAAGGCGACGAUGCGUAGCCGACCUGAGAGGGUGAUCGGCCACACUGGGACUGAGACACGGCCCAGACUCCUACGGGAGGCAGCAGUAGGGAAUCUUCGGCAAUGGGCGAAAGCCUGACCGAGCAACGCCGCGUGAGCGAUGAAGGCCUUCGGGUCGUAAAGCUCUGUUGUUAGAGAAGAACAAGUACGAGAGUAACUGCUCGUACCUUGACGGUACCUAACCAGAAAGCCACGGCUAACUACGUGCCAGCAGCCGCGGUAAUACGUAGGUGGCAAGCGUUAUCCGGAAUUAUUGGGCGUAAAGCGCGCGCAGGCGGUCUCUUAAGUCUGAUGUGAAAGCCCACGGCUCAACCGUGGAGGGUCAUUGGAAACUGGGAGACUUGAGUGCAGGAGAGAAAAGUGGAAUUCCACGUGUAGCGGUGAAAUGCGUAGAGAUGUGGAGGAACACCAGUGGCGAAGGCGGCUUUUUGGCCUGUAACUGACGCUGAGGCGCGAAAGCGUGGGGAGCAAACAGGAUUAGAUACCCUGGUAGUCCACGCCGUAAACGAUGAGUGCUAGGUGUUGGGGGGUUCCACCCUCAGUGCUGAAGUUAACACAUUAAGCACUCCGCCUGGGGAGUACGACCGCAAGGUUGAAACUCAAAGGAAUUGACGGGGGCCCGCACAAGCAGUGGAGCAUGUGGUUUAAUUCGAAGCAACGCGAAGAACCUUACCAGGUCUUGACAUCCUUUGACCACU